rnacentral:rRNA from 1 species
CCUACGGGAGGCAGCAGUGGGGAAUCUUGCACAAUGGAGGAAACUCUGAUGCAGCGAUGCCGCGUGAGUGAAGAAGGCCCUUGGGUUGUAAAGCUCUUUCGUCGGGGAAGAAAAUGACUGUACCCGAAUAAGAAGGUCCGGCUAACUUCGUGCCAGCAGCCGCGGUAAUACGAAGGGACCUAGCGUAGUUCGGAAUUACUGGGCUUAAAGAGUUCGUAGGUGGUUGAAAAGGUUGGUGGUGAAAUCCCAGAGCUUAACUCUGGAACUGCCAUCAAAACUUUUCAGCUAGAGUAUGAUAGAGGAAAGCAGAAUUUCUAGUGUAGAGGUGAAAUUCGUAGAUAUUAGAAAGAAUACCAAUUGCGAAGGCAGCUUUCUGGAUCAUUACUGACACUGAGGAACGAAAGCAUGGGUAGCGAAGAGGAUUAGAUACCCUCGUAGUCCAUGGCGUAAACGAUGUGUGUUAGACGUUGGAAAUUUAUUUUCAGUGUCGCAGCGAAAGCAAUAAACACACCGCCUGGGGAGUACGACCGCAAGGUUAAAACUCAAAUGAAUUGACGG